rnacentral:rRNA from 1 species
UACAGAGGUCUCAAGCGUUGUUCGGAUUCAUUGGGCGUAAAGGGUGCGUAGGCGGCCUUGUAAGUCAGUGGUGAAAUACUCCAGCUUAACUGGAGGGGUGCCAAUGAUACUGCAGGGCUUGAGUACAGAUGAGGUAGGCGGAAUUGACGGUGUAGCGGUGAAAUGCAUAGAUAUCGUCAAGAACACCGAUAGCGAAGGCAGCUUACUGGGCUGUAACUGACGCUGAGGCACGAAAGUGUGGGGAUCAAACAGG